rnacentral:rRNA from 1 species
UACAGAGGGUGCGAGCGUUGUCCGGAAUCACUGGGCGUAAAGGGCGCGUAGGUGGCGACCCAAGUCGAUGGUGAAAGCUCGCCGCUCAACGGCGAGUCGGCCACCGAUACUGGGUUGCUGGAGCACUGUAGAGGCUCAUGGAAUUCCGGGUGUAGCGGUGGAAUGCGUAGAGAUCCGGAGGAAGACCGGUGGCGAAGGCGGUCUGCUGGGCAGUUCUGACACUGAUGCGCGACAGCGUGGGAGCAACAGG